rnacentral:rRNA from 1 species
GGUUAAGCGACUAAGCGUACACGGUGGAUGCCCUGGCAGUCAGAGGCGAUGAAGGACGUGCUAAUCUGCGAAAAGCGACGGCGAGGUGAUAUGAACCUUUGACCCGUCGAUGUCCGAAUGGGGAAACCCAGUGUGUUCCGACACACUAUCGUUAACUGAAUACAUAGGUUAACGAGGCGAACCGGGGGAACUGAAACAUCUAAGUAGGCUCAACAUCUGAAUCAGCAAAACUGAUAGGGUAGCCGCCAAAAACGGAAAUUAGGGCGCUGUUAGUGCCGUCAGUUAUCUGAACUGGCUCACUACCGAUUGUCAUUCUUUCUGUUGCCAUGUGCUCCCCCUACGCCAGUACGUAUUCAGGUGUUGAUGGAUUGAUGAUAAAUUUCUGCGCAGCUUCAGGUAUGAGGCCAUAGAUAACAUCAAUGUGAUAACCGUCCUUUAGGGUCGGCUCCUUUAUCAUAUU